rnacentral:misc_RNA from 1 species
AACGCACAUUGCGCCCUUUGGUAUUCCGGAGGGCAUGCCUGUUCGAGCGUCAUUUCAACCCUCAAGCCCGGCUUGGUAUUGGGCGACCUCCCCAACCGGAGGUGCCCGAAAUCAAUGGCGGCGAACCCAAACCUUUGAGCGCAGUAAAAUAUUUCGUUCUGCAAGGGGAGGUGGCGUCUGCCAGCCACAAAUAUUUUCUAUGGUUGACCUCGGAUCAGGUAGGAUUACCCGCUGAACUUAA